rnacentral:lncRNA from 10 species
UUUAAAGGUCUGAUUGCUUUUGGGCCCCCGGAAAGAACGCCGUUCUGGGCUGGGCUUCUGGGAGCAGGGAGGGAAGGGGUCCACUUGCAAGGGGGGCCAGGCCUUGCCAAUCCAGGUGGCGGAUGGGACCCAGCAGGUGGGGCCGCCGGUCCCUGAUCCUUGGGGCGCUCUCUACCGAGUUUGGGGACCCAGCAAAUCAGCCCAGAUGUAGCCUGCCGUGGGAAGGUGGGGUGCGAUAGAUUCCUAAGUCAGGGAUACAUGGAACUGACUUUUUCCCCCUUGCUGACAACAUAUAGGGCAUCUUCUUAAGCUCAGUUGACUGAAUCUCCCAUGUAACUUCGACGAAUAAUUGAGGAAUCUUGGCUAUUUCAGGUUUCAAAGUGUCGGCUGCCUAGUGUGCCCUGGAUAGAUCAUUGCAUUCUCCAGCCUCCUACAUGCUCACUCUGGAUUAACAAUUUCUUAUUUGCCAUGAGGUUUCUAAACUCUUCACUUUCAAAAAGGUUGCAAUAAAAGGUGUCCAAAACAAACAAUUUGGGAACAUGUGAAAGGAGACCUUAGGUCUGUUAAGGAAGAGGAUGACACUACGUGACAACUUCCGAUUCCAGAAACAGUCUGGACUUCAGGGAUUAUAUCUGGGGGGAUAAAAAGCGCAUGCAAGUCUUCACCGUUUUCAGGAAAAUCAAAUUGGCCAGUAGCAACUGUCCUCCUGCCAACUAAUGAAAGGUCUUCUUAUUUAUUAGCAGUGAUUAGAUAAAGCAGUUAAACCACAUUCCAAUCAAUUUUGGUUGCUUUUUUUGCAUCCAACAUUUGGAAUGCAACUCCUUAUGUAAUUUCUGGUAUCCUAUGUUCAAUGAAAGGUGGAGUUACUUUUUUCCCCUCAGAAUUUAAAGAAAGCAAUAUAUUUAUAGGGAGCUCUUCUUUGGGCUUCCCAAAUCCUGGUUAUUAUUGGGCUUGAUACUCCUUCAGUCUCCGCCUCCUCCUGUUGGGUAGGCUCAAUUAAAACCUUUUGAAUUUAUUUACUUUUGUUUCUGAUUAGGAUUAAUAGGCUCUAAUUUUGUGCCUGGCUUUUGCUCUUCCAAAUGCUGUCUCAAUUGGAAAUGAAUGAUCUCUUGACAACGUAAUACUUGUCGCUCAAAGCCCUCUGACUCUCAGGAGAAACGUUUUGUAUCUGGACACUGUGCGCUGAUUAGCAGUUUUAAGAGGACUGAGUUAGACCAGGCGAUGAGAAGGAUCUCUGAUUUAAGCGAAUUCCCCUUCCCCAGUCCUUCUCACACACAACUCCUCUUCCCCAUUUCCGAUGGUAUGUGCAGUUCCCGGGUCCCCCUUGAUGUUUAGGUUCUGUGUCUGUUUGACACUAGUAGGUAGAGUCAGUGGGGAGACCUGUGGACGGGAGGGGAAGGGUGUGAACAGGCAUUCAGAGUGGCAGGGAGACACACUCUACUCAUGCUGCUGUUGCUCCCAUGGGCCCCCAUUGAGAGCAGCCUCUUGUCCUUACAGACCUUGGAAACUGGAAGAAGGGGCAUAGAGGUUCCCCAUGAGUUUACGUUAUCUGUUAGGAUGAACACUGGCACUGGAAGCGUGAUGCCAUGUGGUUUAACAGAAAUGCCAUCUCUCUAAUGGUGAAUUUAGUUACAGGUGGUCCUCUAGUUGCAGAGUAUUAACUGUGUUCCUACAGUUUUUUAAAAAAAAUCUUGAACAGAUCCAAAUUGGCACUUUUGCUCUUUUUAGCGAUUUUAACUGUGGAGAAAAUGGGUUAAUUUUGUGAUUCUGUUGCAGAGCUUCAGCCACAAGUGUGCUCCAUGGAGGAUGAUGAAUAUUUCAUUUUCUGUAUAUACCCAAGUCCCCACUGUAUGCUUAGGGAUCCCCCCAGUUAUUACUUAACAUCUUUUAUUUUCUUCAUUCAAACAUAGCUUCUAACCAAACCAUCAUAAAUUCAUUUUCGUUUCUUGAUCUCUGCGUGUGUUUUUUCAAGAGUUCCCAAAAGUCCUCACUAGCAGGUUGUUAAGGAUCUUUCUCUGUGUCAGUGUUAUGUUAACUGAUGACUGUAGGAAUAAAUGUGUGCGCCGGGAUUUUAUUAGCUGCUAUUUGCAGCAUCUUUUUUAUAUCAGCUCUGUGGGAGCGUAUGUGUGUAUAUGUGUGUGUGUUUGCUCUCCAUGGUUGUUGCUUCAACUAGGCAAUUUGACAUUUCAAGAAAACAAGAGGCCCAUCCUAGUAUGAUGCCUCUGUUUGGAAAAAUCAGAGGCUAUUCGAGCUACAGAAUAUUAUGGUUUAGCUGAGAAUAUUUGUCACUGUAUUGCUUUCAAAUUCUUUAUUCAUAAAUUAAAUAACCAAUUUGACCAAAUUAAUUUGCUAGAGACCAAAGAACAAGUUAACCCCAUACAGAGGAAGAAAAUACCAACAGGCCAAUCCCUAAGCGAGAUCCAGAGGAAAUGCCAGUACUGCCUGCCCCUGGCCUGCCUUUCUCCUGCCUUCCUCUAGUUAUGUGGUCCUCUAUUUUGAUUGUUUAAUUUCAUGUCUAGAUAGCUUUUUUAAAAAUUUAUUUUUAAUUUUUUAUAGAGAUGGAGUCUGCCUAUGUUCCCCAGGCUGGUCUUGAACUUCUG